rnacentral:misc_RNA from 1 species
GCUCAGAAAGAAAAAUGGCGGCGCGUUUUAAGCAUGCAAGUCGAACGGCAAGUCGGGUCCCAAUACCUGGCCUAGAGUGGCGAACGGGUGAGUAACACGUAGGUGAUCUACCUCUGGAUGGGGGAUAGCCCGUGGAAACACGGGGUAAUACCGCAUGAGGCCUUGUGGGUAAAGCCAUGAGGUGAAAGGUGCAACUGCAUCGUCUGGGGAUGAGCCUGCGGUCCAUUAGUUAGUUGGCGGGGUAACGGCCCACCAAGACGACGAUGGAUAGCCGGCCUGAGAGGGU